rnacentral:misc_RNA from 1 species
AAGUCGUAACAAGGUCUCCGUUGGUGAACCAGCGGAGGGAUCAUUAAAGAGUUGCAAAACUCCCACAACCAUCGCGAACGUUACCCGUAACCGUUGCCUCGGCGGCGUCGGCCCCUCUGGGGUCGCCCGCCGGCGGUACCUGAAACCAUGUUUUUAUAGGCCUCUCUGAGUAACUUAUCAAAUAAGUCAAAA